GUAGUCCCAAACCAAGAUCAAUAGACCAACUUGUAGCCACAACACAUCACAGCCACAGAGGGGCCAGACACUUGGCCUCAAGCCAGGAAGGCCCUCUUCCCUAUGGUUGCCUGGUUACCAUGAGAGAACCUCGCCAUGGUAACAUCUGGAAUAAAGGUGGGAACCACAGAGAUAGAGGGAAUGGCACCUGAUGAAAUGGAGCAAGUGGAGGAGUUUCUGGACCAGCACUGAAUGCCUGCACCAAGCAGAAGAGGGCCUGGAGCUAAGCAGCAGCAAGGCAAAGAGCAAUAAAUUAGAGCAAGUGUCAAAGUUUUUCCCAUUGGCAGGCUGG